UAUUUUUAAUUUUUCCGACCAACUAAACAUUAUUAUUGAUAUUAAUUUAAUAAAACAGGAUAAUUUAUUUCAUAAAGUUCGUAAAGGUUGACGAAAAAGGCUGAAUACAUUGAAGGAAUGACAUAGAAAUGUCGAAUACAUGCAUUGUUGACAAAAAUUGAAAUUGAGAGGUCGACUUCGUUGAACUUUUUUUCUUAUAUUAUAUUGUUUUGGUUGGAGGAAUUUGAAAACAUGACUGUAACGACAUUAUUUAUUUUUAUUUGAAAAAUAGUAUCAAAUGUUGGGUGUCUUGUAACAUGUUUUUUUAGGAAAAU
rnacentral:lncRNA from 1 species